UAACCACCAUCUAGCAUUAUGACUUAGGAACAAAUGUAAAAUGUAAACCUUGACAUAAGCUUGACACAUGGAAAUAAUGUGUGAUGUGGGACCACUGAUGGGCAAGAAUGGAGUGUUGACCCUAUUUGACCAUACCAACAAGACUCUUUGCUAGAUCUUAGACACUAAAGCAACCAUGGAAAGACUAGACCAAGACUAACACCAAUCCUUUGGAAUAGAACUGAUGCUCCGAAUUUAGAAAUCAUUUCUUAAGUGAUAACACUAGUGAUUCUUCAUUCAAAUUUCUUCCCUAUCAACUUUCAAUGGUAGGAUAGUGGCCUACCAUGGUGGUGAUAGGUGACAGAGAAUUAGGGUUCAAUUCUAGAGAGGGAGCCUGAGAAAUGACUACCACAUCCAAGGAAGGCAGUAGACAUACAAAUUACCUAAUCCUAACAUGGGGAGGUAGUGACAAUAAAUAACAAUACUUGGCUCAUCGAGUCCGGCAAUUGGAAUGAGUACAAUCUAAACCCCUUAAUGAGGAUCCAUUGGAGGGCAAGUCUAGUGCCAACGGCUUUGGUAAUUCUAGCUCCAAUAGUGUAUGUUUAAGUUGUUGUAGUUAAAAAUCUUGUAGUUGGAUCUUGGGUCAUAAAGGUUAGUCCACCUACUUGGUGUGCACCUGCCCUUCCGUCCCUUUUCUUGGUAGCAUGCUCCUAGCCAUAAUUGGCUGGGUCGCAGCUCUGAUACCCUUACUUUGAAAAAAUUAGAGUGCUCAAAGCAAUCUUAUGCUUUGAAUAUAUUAGCAUGGAAUAACAUGAUAGGAGUUUGGUCCUAUUAUGUUGGCCUUUAGGAUUGGAGUAAUGAUUAAUAGGGACUGUUGGGGGAAUUUGCAUUUCAUUAUCGGAGGUGAAAUUCUUGGAUUUAUGAAAGAUGGACCACUGUGAAAGAAUUUUCUAGGGAUGUUUUCAUUAAUCAAGAAUGAAAGUUGGGGGCUCGAAGGCAAUCAGAUCUCAUCCUAGUCUUAACCAUAAAUGAUGUUGACCAGGGAUCAGUUGAUGUUGCUCUAAGGACUCUGCCAACACCUUCUGAGAAAUCAGAGUGUUUGGGUUUUAGGGGGAGUAUGGUCGCAAGGCUAAAACUUAAAGGAACUGAUGGAAGGGCACCACCAAGAGUGGAUCCUGCAUCUUAAUUUGACUCAACACAAGGAAACUUACCCGGUCCAGACAUAGUAAGGAUUGAUAUAUUGAGAUCUCUUUCUUGAUUCUAUGGGUGGUGGUGCAUGGCUCUUCUUAGUUGGUGGAGGGAUCUAUCUAUUUAAUUCCAAUAAUGAACGAGACCUCAGCCUGCUAACUUACUACCCAAAGGUUCCCCUUUGCAACCAGCUUCUUAGAGGGACUAUGGCAGCUUACGCCAUGGAAGUUUGAGGAAAUAAUAGGUAUGUGAUGCCCUCAGAUGUUCUAGGAUGCAUACGCAAUAUACUGAUGUAGCUAAUGAGUUUCUCUUCCUGGUUUAAGAGGAUCGGGAAAUCUUAUCAAAUUUCAUUGUGAUGGGGAUAAACCAUUGUAAUUAUUAGCCUUCAAUGAGGAAUUCAUAGUAAGCAUCUAUCAUCAACUUGUGUUGACUAUGUCCCUACCCUUUGUACACACUGCCUGUCACUCCUAUCAAAUGAAUGAUCUGGUGAAGUGUUCAGAUUGUGUCAGCGAUGGUGGUUUGUUGCCAUUGACAACAUGAGAAGUUCGUUGAACCUUAUCAUUUAGAGGAAGGAGAAUUCAUAACUAGGUUACUGUAGGUGAACCUACGGUAG
rnacentral:rRNA from 1 species